rnacentral:tRNA from 1 species
AAAGAAUUAGUUAAUUUAUAACAUAAAUAUGUCAAAUUUAAAUAAUUACUAAAAUUAAUGUAAUAUUCUUUU